rnacentral:rRNA from 1 species
CCUACGGGAGGCAGCAGUGAGGAAUAUUGGUCAAUGGACGAGAGUCUGAACCAGCCAAGUAGCGUGAAGGAUGACUGCCCUAUGGGUUGUAAACUUCUUUUAUAUGGGAAUAAAACGUUCCACGUGUGGGAUUUUGUAUGUACCAUAUGAAUAAGGAUCGGCUAACUCCGUGCCAGCAGCCGCGGUAAUACGGAGGAUCCGAGCGUUAUCCGGAUUUAUUGGGUUUAAAGGGAGCGUAGGUGGAUUGUUAAGUCAGUUGUGAAAGUUUGCGGCUCAACCGUAAAAUUGCAGUUGAAACUGGCAGUCUUGUGUACAGUAGAGGUGGGCGGAAUUCGUGGUGUAGCGGUGAAAUGCUUAGAUAUCACGAAGAACUCCGAUUGCGAAGGCAGUUCACUGGACUGCAACUGACACUGAGGCUCGAAAGUGUGGGUAUCAAACAGGAUUAGAUACCCUAGUAGUC